rnacentral:lncRNA from 1 species
GGAUACGGGGUAGAAAACCAUGGAAGAGUAACCGUCAUCGGUUAGGAUGAACAAAAAGGUUAACUCUGCAAGGGGAUAAAAUAGGGUUUACAACUACCGGAAUAAGGGUAGAGAACCAAAGAAAUAGGACUUAUAACUUCCGGUAUGAGGGUAGAAGGCCAUAGACUCCGUCGGGGAAAAGAUGGACGAUUACUAGUUAC